CGCCCCCCGCGAGGAGACCGCCUCCUGAUUGGCCGCUCCAGCGCCAGGCAGGAUGGGAUGGGACCCAAAUGUGGGCGGGAGGAGACGGACGAGGCGCAGGGUCCCCUCUGGAGGGAGACGGAACCCCGGGACAUGGAGAGGCCAGAGAGUGUUGGUUUGGAUUCAUGAGGAAUUUCCACUGAAAGAGAAAUGGAGAAACAAGACACUUUCAGAUCAUGUCAUAUCUUGUACAUUAAAAUAAGGACCUAUUUCUAGAAGUAACUUUUGGUUCAAAUCAUAUCAACAUUUGAAGUCCCUUGUGAUAUAUUGUCCAUUGUUCUCUACAAAACUUGAGCCAGCUGACACUCACCAACACUGAGAGUGAGGACUGGAAAUAAAAUUUUAAAGAUAGAAGAACAUGAACAAGAAAGAUAAGUGAUGAUGUGUAAAUGAGCAAAAGGUGACUCUAGUCCCCAAAACUGGAUGAAGUCUGGAAAGAACCUGCUCCUGCUUCCCAGCCCCAAGUGUGGCGGCAGGGCACCUGAAGAGCUGCAGAGAGACAAGAAUGGCAACUUGUUCCAGGAGAAGCAGACGGGCUGGUGCCAACGGUUGGCGAUACAUGUUUUGAGGUUCCUUUGGAAGCCACAUGUCAUUUGAUCCCUGCAACCAUCCUGGGAGGGUUUCAGAUGUACAAUAUGGUGAUUCAACAAUUCUGUACAUUACUCAGUGUUCAUCAUGUACUCUCUACAUCCAGUGUGGGGCUUGAACUCACAACCCUGAGAUCAAGAGUCAUAUGCUCUACCAACUGAGCCAGGCAAGUGCCCCUGAGUCCAUUCAAAAGGCACUAAAUUUUUACUCCUCUCCUCCCAUAUUUUAGUAAAUUGGCUGUGGAGCCCAACAUGGGGCUUGAACUCAUGACCCUGGGAUCAAGACCUGAGCUCCAAUCAAGAUUCAGAUGCUUAACUACUGGGUAUUUACCCCAAAGACACAGAUGUAGUGAAAAGAAGGACCGUAUGCACCCCGAUGUUCAUAGCAGCAAUGUCCACAAUAGCCAAACUGUGGAAAGAGCCGAGAUGCCCUUCAAAAGACGAAUGGAUAAUGAAGAUGUGGUCCAUAUAUACAAUGGAAUAUUAUUCAGCCAUCAGAAAGGAUGAAUACCCAACUUUAACAUCAAUAUGGAUGGGACUGGAGGAGAUUAUGCUAAGUGAAAUAAGUCAAGCAGAGAACGUCAAUUAUCAUACGGUUUCACUUAUUUGUGGAACAUAGGGAAUGGCAUGGAGGACAUUAGGAGAAGGAAGGGGAAAAUGAAGGGGGUGGGAAAUCGGAGGGGAAGAUGAACCAUGAGAGACUAUGGACUCCCAAGAAACAAACUGAGGGUUUUAGAGGGGAGGGUGGUGGUGGAAUGGGUUAGCCCGGUGAUGGGUAUUAAGGAGGGCACAUAUUGCAUGGAGCACUGGGUGUUAUAUGAAAACAAUGAAUCAUGGAACACUACAUCAAAAACUAAUGAUGUACUAUAUGGUAACUAACAUAACAUAAUAAAAUAAAAUAAAAUUGAAAAAAAAAAGAGUCAGAUGCUUAACUGACUUAGCCACCCAGGCGUCCCUGGAUAUACUUUUUUACCACUUUUGUGCUUCCUAGUUUUCUUACUCCUGCUUAUGGUCUUUCCACUCAAAGAGUCCCCUUUAACAUUUCCUGUAAGGCUGAUUUAGUUAUGAUGAAUUCCUUUAACUUUUGUUUGUCUAGAAAACUCUAUCUCUCCUUCUAUUUUGGAACAAUAGCCUUGCUGGACAGAGUAUUCUUGAUGGCAGGUUUUUUUUUUUCUUUCAGCACUUUGAAAAUAUCACACCACUUUCUUCUGGCCUGCAAAGUUUCUGCUGAAAAAUCAGCUGAUAGCCUUAUGAGGUUUCCCUUGUAUAUAACUGUUUUCUUUUCUCUUGUUGCUUUUAAAAUUCUCUCCUUAUCACUACAUUUUAAUUACUAUGUGUCUUGCUGUGGACCUCUUUGGGUUGAUUUUGUUAGGGUCUCGCUGCAUCUCCUUGAUCUGGAUUUCUGUUUCCUUUCCUAGGUUAGGGAAGUUUUCAGCUCUUACUUCCUAAAAUAAAUUUUCUGCCACUUUUUCUCUCUUCUCCUUCUGGGAUUCCUAUAAUAUGGAUGUUGUUAUGCUUGAUGGUGUUGCAGUGUUCCUUUAACCUAUUCUCAUUUUUUAUUAAUCUUUUUUCUUUCUCAUGUUCAACUUGGUUGCUUUCCAUUACUCUGUCCUCUGGGUCACUGAUCCAUUCUUCUGUUUCCUCUAGUCUACUAUUUAUUCCAUCUGGUACAUUUUUAAUGUCAGUUAUUGAGUUCUUAAUCUUUGAUUGGUUCUUUUUUAUGUUUUCUAUCUCUUUAUAGAGGUCCUCACUGAGAUCCUUCACUCUUUUCUCAAGUCCAGUGAGUAUCUUUUUUAAA